AACAUCAAUAAUAUCGCGAAUGCAAUACCACAUUACUGACUCCAGUUCUUAUGGUUGUCAGGAGAGGAUUCAAUUUUGAACCCAACGUCUCUCUUGUUUCGGUUACUGCUAAGCGUAGAUUAAAUUAAGGACGUUGCUGGGCGCCUUGUGUUGAUCGUUUCGACGAUGUGAGACAUUGGGAAUCAGCUGUACCUACAUUC
rnacentral:snoRNA from 1 species